rnacentral:rRNA from 1 species
AGGACGAACGCUGGCGGCGUGCUUAACACAUGCAAGUCGAGCGGAAAGGCCCUUCGGGGUACUCGAGCGGCGAACGGGUGAGUAACACGUGAGUAAUCUGCCCUUAGCUCUGGGAUAGCUCCGGGAAACCGGGAUUAAUACCAGAUACAACCACUUUAGACAUCUGUUGUGGUGGAAAGAAUUUUGGCUAAGGAUGAGCUCGCGGCCUACCAGCUUGUUGGUGGGGUAAUGGCCUACCAAGGCGACGACGGGUAGCCGGCCUGAGAGGGCGACCGGCCACACUGGGACUGAGACACGGCCCAGACUCCUACGGGAGGCAGCAGUGGGGAAUAUUGCGCAAUGGGCGAAAGCCUGACGCAGCGACGCCGCGUGGGGGAUGAAGGCCUUCGGGUUGUAAACCCCUUUCAGCAGGGACGAAGCGAAGUGACGGUACCUGCAGAAGAAGCGCCGGCUAACUACGCGCCAGCAGCCGC